rnacentral:misc_RNA from 1 species
AACGCACAUUGCGCCUCUUGGUAUUCCAGGAGGCACGCCUGUUCGAGCGCCAUUACACACCCCAAGCACGGCUUGAUGUUGGGCGACGCCUCUCACGGGGCGCGCCUGGAACGCGUGGGCGCCGCCGCCGGACCACGAGCGUAGCAAGACGAAAGUCAAUCGCUUCUGUGGGCCCGACGGACGGUCUGCCUGUCACAACUUCUCAAAAGUUUGGCCUCGAAUCAGGCGGGGAUACCCGCUGAACUUAA